rnacentral:rRNA from 1 species
CCUACGGGAGGCAGCAGUGGGGAAUAUUGCACAAUGGGGGAAACCCUGAUGCAGCGACGCCGCGUGAGUGAAGAAGUAAUUCGUUAUGUAAAGCUCUAUCAGCAGGGAAGAAAAUGACGGUACCUGAGGAAGAAGGCCCGGCAAACUACGUGACAGCCGCCGCGGUAAAACGUAGGGGGCAAGCGUUAUCCGGAUUUACUGGGUGUCAAGGGAGCGUAGACGGCAGUGCAAGUCUGGAGUGAAAGGCGGGGGCUCAACCCCCGGACUGCUCUGGAAACUGUACGGCUGGAGUGCAGGAGAGGUAAGUGGAAUUCCUAGUGUAGCGGUGAAAUGCGUAGAUAUUAGGAGGAACACCAGUGGCGAAGGCGGCUUACUGGACUGUAACUGACGUUGAGGCUCGAAAGCGUGGGGAGCAAACAGGAUUAGAUACCCCUGUAGUC